AGUUGCGAACGGGUGAGUAACGCGUAGGUAACCUGCCUCUUAGCGGGGGAUAACUAUUGGAAACGAUAGCUAAUACCGCAUAAAAGUCGACAUUGCAUGAUGUUGACUUGAAAGGUGCAACUGCAUCACUAAGAGAUGGACCUGCGUUGUAUUAGCUAGUUGGUGAGGUAACGGCUCACCAAGGCGACGAUACAUAGCCGACCUGAGAGGGUGAUCGGCCACACUGGGACUGAGACACGGCCCAGACUCCUACGGGAGGCAGCAGUAGGGAAUCUUCGGCAAUGGACGGAAGUCUGACCGAGCAACGCCGCGUGAGUGAAGAAGGUUUUCGGAUCGUAAAGCUCUGUUGUAAGAGAAGAACGAGUGUGAGAGUGGAAAGUUCACACUGUGACGGUAACUUACCAGAAAGGGACGGCUAACUACGUGCCAGCAGCCGCGGUAAUACGUAGGUCCCGAGCGUUAUCCGGAUUUAUUGGGCGUAGAGCGAGCGCAGGCGGUUAGAUAAGUCUGAAGUUAAAGGCUGUGGCUUAACCAUAGUACGCUUUGGAAACUGUUUAACUUGAGUGCAGAAGGGGAGAGUGGAAUUCCAUGUGUAGCGGUGAAAUGCGUAGAUAUAUAGAGGAACACCGGUGGCGAGAGCG
rnacentral:rRNA from 1 species